AUUGAACGCUGGCGGCAGGCCUAACACAUGCAAGUCGAACGGUUGGCGGCCGGGUGAGUAAUGUCUUGGAAACUGCCUGCUUGAGGGGGAUAACUACUGGAUACGGUUGCUAAUACCGCCUACCUUCGGAUGUGCCCAGAUGGUAUUAGCUAGUAGGUGGGGUAAAUGCUCACCUAGGCGACGAUCCCUAGCUGGUCUGAGAGGAUGACCAGCCACACUGGAACUGAGACACGGUCCAGACUCCGACGCGAGGCAGCAGUGGGGAAUAUGGCACAAUGGGCGAAAGCCUGAUGCAGCCAGGCCGCGUGUAUGAAGAAGGCCUUCGGGUGGUAAAGGACUUUCAGCGGGGAGGCGUUACCCGCAGAAGAAGCACCGGCUAACUCCGUGCCAGCAGCCGCGGUAAUAC
rnacentral:rRNA from 1 species